AAGGCUCGACUGAACCUGACGCAGGCUGGUUUGAUCUGUUUAGUACCCGCUAUUGGAAAGUUGUUAGCGUUGGUGCAGCACUUUUCUUGUUUCAACAGUUGGCUGGGAUCAAUGCUAUUGUAUACUAUUCAACUUCUGUAUUCCGUAGUGCGGGGAUUGCCUCUUUGUAGCAAGUGCUCUUGUUGGAGCCGCAAAUGUCUUUGGCACAGCUGUUGCAUCAUCCUUGAUGGAUAGACAAGGAAGAA